rnacentral:rRNA from 1 species
AUGGGCCUGCGCCGUAUCAGGUUGUAGGGGGUGUAAAGUACCCUCUAGCCAUCAACGCGUACGGGUGUUGGGAGACAUUGCCCGGAGAUGGAUUCUGAGACACGAAUCCAGACCCUACGGGGUGCAGCAGGCGCGAAAACUUGGCAAUGCGAGAAAUCGUGACCAGGGAACUCCAAGUGCGUAGGGUAAGACCUACGCUUUUCUUGACUCUUCAAAGGUCUUGGAAUAAGGGGUGGGUAAGGACGGUGCCAGCCGCCGCGGUAAUACCGGCGCCUCAAGUGGUAGUCGCUUUUAUUGGGCCUAAAACGUCCGUAGCCGGUCUGGUGCAUUCGUGGGUAAAUCAACCCGCUCAACGGGUUGAAUUCUGCGAGCACGGCCAGACUUGGGACCGGGAGAGGUGUGGGGUACUCUCAGGGUAGGGGUAAAAUCCUGUCAUCCUGAGAGGACCACCUGUUGCGAAGGCGCCACACUAGAACGGAUCCGACGGUCAGGGACGAAACCUAGGGGCACGAACCGGAUUAGAUACCCGGGUAGUCCUAGGUGUAAACGCUGUGGACUUGAUGUUGGGGGCGCUCCGAGCGCUCUCAGUGUCGAAGCGAAGGUGAUAAGUCCACUGCCUGGGGAGUACGGUCGCAAGGCUGAGACUUAAAGGAAUUGGCGGGGGAGCACUGCAACCUGAGGAUUGUGCGGUUUAAUUGGAUUCAACGCCGGAAAACUCACCAUGGCCGACGGACAAAUGAAAGCCAGUGUAACGAGCUUGCUGGAUUGUUCGAGAGGUAUUGCAUGGCCGUCGUCAGUUCGUACCGCAAGGCGUUCUGUUAAGUCAGAUAACGAACGA